rnacentral:rRNA from 1 species
UACGAAGGGUGCAAGCGUUAAUCGGAAUUACUGGGCGUAAAGCGUGCGCAGGCGGUCUUUUAAGUCAGAUGUGAAAUCCCCGGGCUUAACCUGGGAACUGCGUUUGAAACUGGAAGGCUAGAGUGUGGCAGAGGGGGGUGGAAUUCCACGUGUAGCAGUGAAAUGCGUAGAGAUGUGGAGGAACACCGAUGGCGAAGGCAGCCCCCUGGGCUAACACUGACGCUCAGGCACGAAAGCGUGGGGAGCAAACAGG